AUUUUAUUAGUUUCUUUUACAGACUUAUUAUCUGCGAAUACUGACCAGGAACAACAAACAUCUCAAUUUCACCACAUUAAAGGAAUCUUGAAAACUUGCCAUCAUUUUGGAACUGGACAGAACUAAGAAAGGGCUACGCUGGUACCUGACUUCCUCAUGCAGUUGGUUCUCUUAUGAAAGUUUUCAGAAACUUGGAUGGAAAAAAAGGCCUCAACUUUGAGAAAAUACUUUUCUUCCAAAUUUUCCCAACAACCCAGGCUAAGCCUAUUAAAGUAAGGCAGACUAAGACUGCAGUGCAUGCAGAGGAAUAGCAGAAUGGAUUUAGCUGGAAUGAUUUACCAAGUUUAAAGUCUGGGCAUGGUUUACUGCAGUUUAAAGUAUCCACAACCAGGAUGUGAACUCGGAAGAAGGCGGCGUCCGGAGUGACAUACAGGCGACUCAUCUUGUACAAUCCAUCACUGUCUACCAAGAGGGUAAUCCACUGGACUCCAUUCCCCAGGCUUUCCAGG